CAAUCGAACGUGGAGAUAGCUGGUUCUCCCCGAAAUAGCUUUAGGGCUAGCCUCAGGGAAAAGAUUGCAGGCGGUAGAGCACUGAUCAGGAGAGGGACCUACCCGGUUACCAAACCCAGUCAAACUCCGAAUGGCUGCAAUCAUACCUGGGAGUCAGACUGCGACUAAUAAGGGCCGCAGUCAAAAGGGAAACAGCCCAGACCAUCAGCUAAGGUCCCCAAUGCCGUGCUAAGUGGCGAAGGAUGUGGCAUUUCAUAAACAACCAGGAUGUUGGCUCAGAAGCAGCCACCAUUUAAAGAGUGCGUAAUAGCUCACUGGUCGAGAGACGCUGCGCCGAAAAUGUCCGGGGCUCAAGCACGGAACCGAAGCUAUGGCAUGAUAGCAAUAUCAUGGGUAGGGGAGCGUUCUUAUAAGGAAGAAGCAUGACCGGAAGGACAUGUGGACGAAUAAGAAGUGAGAAUGCCGGUAUGAGUAUCGAAAAGAAAGGUGAGAAUCCUUUCCACCGAAAGCCCGAGGGUUCCUGAGCAACGAUCGUCGACUCAGGGUAAGUCGGGACCUAAGCCGAGGCGAGAAGCGUAGGCGAUGGACAACAGGUUGAAAUUCCUGUACCGGAUCAAGUCGAUCGAGCGAAGGAGCGACGCAGGAGGGCACAUGAUCGCGCGGCUGGAAGAGCGCGUCCAAGUGCGUAUGUUGCAGCAGAGGAAAACCCCUGCAGCUAAAAGCAGAGACAUGAUGGGGAGUUAAAGGAAACUUUGACGAACUCAUGAAUCCCACACUGCCAAGAAAAACUUCUAGCGAGACAAGAUCCGCCCGUACCGUAAACCGACACAGGUAGGCGGGGAGAGAAUCCUAAGGUGCGCGGGAAAACCCUCGUUAAGGAACUCGGCAAAUUGCAUCCGUAACCUAGGGAGAAGGAUGGCCCCCGGUCAGUGAAGAGCAGAAACGCUCAGAGCUAAAAGGGGCGGCAGAAAAGAGGCCCAAGCAACUGUUUACCAAAAACACAGGUGCCUGCGAAAGCGAAAGCUGAAGUAUAGGUGCUGACGCCUGCCCGGUGCCGGAAGGUUAAGGAGAGAAGUUAGCGAAAGCGAAGCAUCGAACUGAAGCCCCGGUGAACGGCGGCCGUAACUAUAACGGUCCUAAGGUAGCGAAAUUCCUUGUCGGGUAA
rnacentral:rRNA from 1 species